CCAGACAUGAAAUUCUGGCUUGGAACUGCUUUUCUUCAAGAAUGUUGAAUAUUAACCCUCAAUCUCUUCUGGCUUGUUUGGUUUCAGGUGUGGAGUCUAAGAAGUCCAAGGUUGAGGAGCUGCAUCUGAUGAGAGCCUUCUUGCUGGUUGGGAUCCUCUGCAGAGUCUUGAGUUGGUUCUGGAGACUGGAAAAUCCAAAACCACGGCACCAGCAUCUGGUGAAGAUCUUUUCAUGGCAAGAGAGAAAACACAUGCAUGUCAGCUCAAAUCUCUUUCUCUUUUAAUAAUGUUGCUAGUCCCAUCAUGGAGGCCCCAGCCUUAUGACCUUAUCUAAUGCUAAUUACAUCCAAAAGGCUCCACCUCCAAUCAACAUAUGAAUUUGGAAAUUAGGUUUCCAAUACGUGAAAUUUGGGAAAUGUAUUUAAACCACAAACAGCCAGUUUAAAAGAUUUUGCAUUGAAUAAUAAAAGUGAACCAACAAAUGUAU
rnacentral:lncRNA from 10 species